GAUGAACGCUGGCGGCGUGCCUAAUACAUGCAAGUCGAGCGAACAGAUAAGGAGCUUGCUCCUUUGACGUUAGCGGCGGACGGGUGAGUAACACGUGGAUAACCUACCUAUAAGACUGGGAUAACUUCGGGAAACCGGAGCUAAUACCGGAUAACAUAUUGAACCGCAUGGUUCAAUAGUGAAAGGCGGCUUUGCUGUCACUUAUAGAUGGAUCCGCGCCGUAUUAGCUAGUUGGUAAGGUAACGGCUUACCAAGGCAACGAUACGUAGCCGACCUGAGAGGGUGAUCGGCCACACUGGAACUGAGACACGGUCCAGACUCCUACGGGAGGCAGCAGUAGGGAAUCUUCCGCAAUGGGCGAAAGCCUGACGGAGCAACGCCGCGUGAGUGAUGAAGGUCUUCGGAUCGUAAAACUCUGUUAUCAGGGAAGAACAAAUGUGUAAGUAACUGUGCACAUCUUGACGGUACCUGAUCAGAAAGCCACGGCUAACUACGUGCCAGCCGCCGCAGUAA
rnacentral:rRNA from 1 species